AAAGCGAGCGGCGGAUGGGUGAGUAACACGUGGGGAACCUGCCCCUAAGUCUGGGAUACCAUUUGGAAACAGGUGCUAAUACCGGAUAAUAAAGCAGAUCGCAUGAUCAGCUUUUGAAAGGCGGCGUAAGCUGUCGCUAAGGGAUGGCCCCGCGGUGCAUUAGCUAGUUGGUAAGGUAACGGCUUACCAAGGCGACGAUGCAUAGCCGAGUUGAGAGACUGAUCGGCCACAUUGGGACUGAGACACGGCCCAAACUCCUACGGGAGGCAGCAGUAGGGAAUCUUCCACAAUGGACGCAAGUCUGAUGGAGCAACGCCGCGUGAGUGAAGAAGGUUUUCGGAUCGUAAAGCUCUGUUGUUGGUGAAGAAGGAUAGAGGUAGUAACUGGCCUUUAUUUGACGGUAAUCAACCAGAAAGUCACGGCUAACUACGUGCCAGCAGCCGCGGUAAUACGUAGGUGGCAAGCGUUGUCCGGAUUUAUUGGGCGUAAAGCGAGCGCAGGCGGAAAAAUAA
rnacentral:rRNA from 1 species